rnacentral:rRNA from 2 species
UGCAAGUCGAGCGAACUGAUUAGAGGCUUGCUUCUAUGACGUUAGCGGCGGACGGGUGAGUAACACGUGGGCAACCUGCCUGUAAGACUGGGAUAACUUCGGGAAACCGAAGCUAAUACCGGAUAGGAUCUUCUCCUUCAUGGGAGAUGAUUGAAAGAUGGUUUCGGCUAUCACUUACAGAUGGGCCCGCGGUGCAUUAGCUAGUUGGUGAGGUAACGGCUCACCAAGGCAACGAUGCAUAGCCGACCUGAGAGGGUGAUCGGCCACACUGGGACUGAGACACGGCCCAGACUCCUACGGGAGGCAGCAGUAGGGAAUCUUCCGCAAUGGACGAAAGUCUGACGGAGCAACGCCGCGUGAGUGAUGAAGGCUUUCGGGUCGUAAAACUCUGUUGUUAGGGAAGAACAAGUACAAGAGUAACUGCUUGUACCUUGACGGUACCUAACCAGAAAGCCACGGCUAACUACGUGCCAGCAGCCGCGGUAAUACGUAGGUGGCAAGCGUUAUCCGGAAUUAUUGGGCGUAAAGCGCGCGCAGGCGGUUUCUUAAGUCUGAUGUGAAAGCCCACGGCUCAACCGUGGAGGGUCAUUGGAAACUGGGGAACUUGAGUGCAGAAGAGAAAAGCGGAAUUCCACGUGUAGCGGUGAAAUGCGUAGAGAUGUGGAGGAACACCAGUGGCGAAGGCGGCUUUUUGGUCUGUAACUGACGCUGAGGCGC